GACUCUCGGCAACGGAUAUCUCGGCUCUCGCAUCGAUGAAGAACGUAGCGAAAUGCGAUACCUGGUGUGAAUUGCAGAAUCCCGCGAACCAUCGAGUCUUUGAACGCAAGUUGCGCCCGAGGCCACUCGGCCGAGGGCACGCCGGCCUGGGCGUCA
rnacentral:rRNA from 1 species